rnacentral:rRNA from 1 species
CUGUCUCGCGGCAUUUCUUGCUCUCUAAAUCAAACGCGCUCUGCGUGUGCGAGGAAUCGCAGGAACUUUCCGAGUCGAAUGAUCGAUACAUCAUUUGGGUUUCUGACCUAUCAGCUUUCGACGGUAGGAUAUUGGCCUACCGUGGCAAUGACGGGUAACGGGGAAUUAGGGUUCGAUUCCGGAGAGGGAGCCUGAGAAAUGGCUACCACGUCUAAGGAUGGCAGCAGGCGCGCAAAUUACCCGAUCCUGACACAGGGAGGUAGUGACAAAAAAUAGCAACUCAAAGCAAACGCUUUGCAGAUUGCAAUGAUAUUCGGCCAAAGCUCGUUUGGAGUAUCAAUUGGAGGGCAAGUCUGGUGCCAGCAGCCGCGGUAAUUCCAGCUCCAAUAGCGUAUAUUAAAUUUGUUGCAGUUAAAAAGCUCGUAGUUGGAACGAAACGUCUUCGUCGCCGCUCUAUUCAGGGCGCCUCGUCGACGCGGGCUUUUCGAAAGCCUCUGUUACUUUGAGAAAAUUUGAGUGUUUCAGGCGGGCGUGAGCUGAAAUAGUGUACCAUGGAAUAGCACAGUGGUUGUCCCU